GAUCAACUAGACAGGCAUCAGCUUCCUGGAUGUGGAGAGGAGACUGCUGCAGCUCUCCUACCCAGAGGUCACUAGGAGUCAACACCAUGAGGGGAGGGCAAGACGUUUGGCCAGUCUGUGACUCUCCGGACUCUGAAGGGAGACUUCUCUCUGAAAUGCGGUGAUGACUGGGAACAUAGCAGAGCUGGUGCAUAUGUUUCUGGGAGGACUGAGGGAACGCUCUCAGUAUGCUGUGGCCCUGCAGGAAGUCAACCAAAAUAACCCUACGUUUCUGAGCUUUAAGAAAGGAGAGCUGAUAGUCCUCAUUAAAGACGAUGAGCUGACUGUCGGCCGCGGCUGGAUCAAGGGCAAGAACGAACGCACCAGUAAGACAGGGGCGGUACCCACCGACGCUAUCCUGGUCCUGCCCACUCUCACUAAACCCACCAAUGAAUUCAUGACGGCACGCUGUAAUUUGGACUUUACGCAUUCCUGCGCCUGUCUCCCGAUCCUUCAUACCAACGUUACAUCACGGUUGGUUCCAUAUCCUUAAAGGUUGAAGAGCCCAGGAUCACAGACCCCACCUCUUCUCUCGUGGUUGGAUCACAGAAUCACCUCUUCUCUCGUGGUUGGAUCACAGACUCACCCCUUCUCUCAUGGUUGGAUGGUGGGCCUGAUUGGCAUGCACAGUAUUUGACAGACUGUUUUCAGAGAUGUUUCAGUUCCUUUUCUUGCCCGUCAUUUACCUAUCCUGGGUGGUUUUAAUACUGUUUUCAGAUAUGUGUUCCUUCCUUUCCAUGACCUGUGUGUACCUAUCCUGAAGUACAUGGGAGUCUACCCCACCAGGCAGAUACAGAGUCCUCUAGAGUUGACAGACCAGAUCUUUGACCCAGCCACCAAGGACGAGGCCCUGAGAGACAAGAUCUACUGUCAGAUCAUGAAACAAAUGACCAGCAACAACAACAGGAUAGAGCCCAGGAAGCUGCCUCCUCACCAGGUGGAGAUAGAUGCCAUCCAGCAGAAUUCCACUCAGAUCUUCCCCAAGGUCCACUUCCACAACGACACAGAAGAGCACUAGGAUCAGGGACCUCUGUCAGACCAUCUCCACCAAACUCCAGCUGGUCUCAUCUGACGGCUUCAGCAUCUUUGUCAAAACACCCGACAAGGUUUGUCAUCAAUACAACAUCACAUGGCAUAGUAAUUAUCUGGUGGGGGUUUAUAUAGCUCUUAGCCCCCUCUGUAGAUGCCUACUGGACAACAUUUAUUUGUAUUGCUUCUAAAAUAUUUUUAAUACAUUUUUAUCUUAUUAACACUUUGUUCUAGCUAGCUAUUUGUGUC